AGUCGAGGGGUAACGGAAGUAGCUUGCUACUAGACGACGACCGGCGCACGGGUGAGUAACGCGUAUGUAAUCUGCCUUGUACAGAGGGAUAGCCCAGAGAAAUUUGGAUUAAUACCUCAUAGUAUUACUGAAUCGCAUGAUUUGGUAAUUAAAGCUCCGGCGGUACAAGAUGAACAUGCGUGACAUUAGCUAGUUGGUAAGGUAACGGCUUACCAAGGCCACGAUGUCUAGGGGUUCUGAGAGGAUGAUCCCCCACACUGGUACUGAGACACGGACCAGACUCCUACGGGAGGCAGCAGUGAGGAAUAUUGGUCAAUGGACGCAAGUCUGAACCAGCCAUCCCGCGUGAAGGAUGACUGCCCUAUGGGUUGUAAACUUCUUUUAUAUGCAAAUAAACCUACUUUCGUGAAAGUAGCUGAAGGUAGCAUAUGAAUAAACACCGGCUAACUCCGUGCCAGCAGCCGCGGUAAUACGGAGGGUGUAAGCGUUAUCCGGAUUUAUUGGGUUUAAAGGGUAC
rnacentral:rRNA from 1 species